rnacentral:rRNA from 1 species
CCCAAGAGAUCGGGAUAACACCUGGAAACAGAUGCUAAUACCGGAUAACAACAGAUGAUGCCUAUCAACUGUUUAAAAGAUGGUUCUGCUAUCACUCUUGGAUGGACCUGCGGUGCAUUAGCUAGUUGGUAGGGUAACAGCCUACCAAGGCGAUGAUGCAUAGCCGAGUUGAGAGACUGAUCGGCCACAUUGGGACUGAGACACGGCCCAAACUCCUACGGGAGGCAGCAGCC